rnacentral:rRNA from 1 species
AGUGAACGCUGGCGGUAGGCCUAACACAUGCAAGUCGAACGGCAGCACAGUAAGAGCUUGCUCUUACGGGUGGCGAGUGGCGGACGGGUGAGGAAUACAUCGGAAUCUACUUUUUCGUGGGGGAUAACGUAGGGAAACUUACGCUAAUACCGCAUACGACCUACGGGUGAAAGCAGGGGAUCUUCGGACCUUGCGCGAUUGAAUGAGCCGAUGUCGGAUUAGCUAGUUGGCGGGGUAAAGGCCCACCAAGGCGACGAUCCGUAGCUGGUCUGAGAGGAUGAUCAGCCACACUGGAGCUGGGACACGGUCCAGGCUCCUACGGGAGGCAGCAGUGGGGAAUAUUAGACAAUGGGCGCAAGCCUGGUCCAGCCAUACCGCGUGGGUGAAGAAGGCCUUCGGGUUGUAAAGACCUUUUGUUGGGAAAGAAAAGCAGCAGGUUAAUACCCCGCUGUUCUGACGGUACCCAAAGAAUAAGCACCGGCUAACUUCGUG